UCCGUUAGUUCUGCCUGUCCUUACUGCAUAAAUCCUUGUUGUUUUCUUAUACAGGAUGACCCUCAACGACUGAAGCUGGGACUGAAAAAACAGCUGCAUUGUACUGCAGACUCAAAUCCUGCUACAGCUAUAAGCUCUAGGAUUCAAACCAAACAGGAUUAUGCAGAAGGGCAGUAUAAUACUCGGUGUGAAUUAAAGGUGUGAGAAAGGACGCAUCUCUUUCUGGACAUGAUGACGUCCUAUAUCAAGUGCUUGUGCCCCUGAGAUGAAAGACCUGUGGAAACCUGAAUUCACAAUGGCUCAAGAGCAUAUGGUAAUACGACCAUCACCUCCUCCGAUUCAGCUGCAGACAUGGUCACUCUGUUACCAAAGCUCCACUGAUAUUUUCACACCAGGUAACUUUCCCAGAGAAUACAGAGAAAGAUUGCUUGUUAGGACAACAGGAAGAUUUCUACAAUAAGUUCUACUCACUGCAGAUGCAGGUGCUGAAAUGGCAGCCUGGGGUGAAGAACUGAAGAGCAAUGGAAACCACGCAUUACCAGCUCAAAGAGCUUCUCUGCAGUGUUCUCUGAGUGAAGACUCCCUGCCCCGAAGUGCUGCUAGAGGGAAGAGACACUGGUGUGCUAAUGAUGGGCUAUUUUCAUUACCCUCCUUGCCCCACAGGG